rnacentral:snRNA from 1 species
GGAUGUGAGGGUAAUCUGGCUGCGACAUCUGGCUGGCUAGGCGGGUGUCCCCUUCCUCCCUCACCGCUCCAUGUGCGUCCCUCCCGAAGCUGUGCACUCGGUCGAAGAGGAUGACCUUCCCCGAAUAGAGGAGGACUGGUCCCCAGUCCAAGUUAUACGAGUAUCUGCGCUGCCCUGCUAGAACCUCCAAACAAGCUCUCAAGGUCCUUUUGCUCUCUGCCACAGAGGCCCAUCUUCUUACAUCUGUCUGUCAGAC